GGGACUCGCUCCCCUCGUCCCCUCCCCCCAUGCAGCGCUGAGGAGACGGGCGGCGGAGCGGAGUAGGGGAGGCCCGGGGCCUAGCGGAGCGGGCUGGAGCGGCGGCCCCGGCGCCAUGGAGGGGAUGGACGUGGACCUGGACGCCGAGCUGAUGCAGAAGUUCAGCUGCCUGGGCACCACCGACAAGGACGUGCUGAUCGGCGAGUUCCAGCGGCUGCUGGGCUUCCAGCUGAGCCCGGCCGGCUGCGCCUUCUUCCUGGACAUGACCAACUGGAACCUACAAGCAGCCAUUGGAGCCUACUAUGACUUUGAGAGUCCGAACAUCAAUGUGCCCUCCAUGUCCUUUGUUGAAGAUGUUACCAUAGGAGAAGGGGAGUCAAUCCCUCCUGAUACCCAGUUUACAAAAACAUGGAGGAUACAAAACACAGGGACAGAGGCAUGGCCCCCAGGGGUUUGUCUUAAGUACGUCGGGGGAGACCAGUUUGGCCAUGUAAACAUGGUGAUGGUCAGGUCGCUAGAGCCCCAGGAGAUUUCAGAUGUCAGCGUUCAGAUGUGCAGCCCCAGCACAGCGGGAAUGUAUCAGGGACAGUGGCGCAUGUGCACUGCUACAGGACUCUAUUAUGGAGAUGUCAUCUGGGUGAUCCUCAGCGUGGAGGUUGGAGGACUUUUAGGAGUAACGCAGCAGCUGUCAUCCUUCGAAACGGAAUUCAACACACAACCACAUCGCAAGGUAGAAGGAAACUUUAACCCCUUCGCCUCUCCGCAGAAGAACAGGCAACCAGAUGAAAACAACCUAAAAGACCCUGGGGGUUCUGAGCUAGGCACAAUCAGCAAAAACACGUGGGGGCCUGCUCCUGACCAAAUUGAACAAGAUCAGAACGGACUGUCACAAAACUCUGUAAAUCUCUCCCCCAGCAGUCACUCGAACAACUUGUCGGUAGUGACGUACAGUAAGAUGCUUGUGUGUACAAAUACGUGAAAAAUGAAUUGCAGGAUUAUUUACACUUCAAAAUCCUAUUAUUGCAAGAGGCAUGUCUAGUUUACGUAAAUGAGUCAAAAGAACUCAGGAUAGUUUGGAGAAGCACUGACCAGGAACGGCCCAGGAAGUGAUGAGGAAGAGAGAGGGACUUGUAGUGUUAUCUGAUGCUGCCAUCAGUGUACACUGGGAGACUUUUGUGUUGCGUUGCAGCCGUGCAUCAAAAAGCUCAUGUCUUUUUUUAUAAACUCAAGUGUACCUUUUGUUGAUCUAAAUUCAGCCACAAACAAAGGGUUUCCACGGUCCUUAUCCCUUUGGACAGUCUUAAAAACAAACAAAAAAACGGGUACCGUCAAGAGGAGAAUUUAACAAAGAACUGACUCAUGGGGGACAGAGGGGGGUUCUUAUGGCUUAUAGAAGACACGGCAUGGAUCCCCUUCUCUGCCUCCGCAACCUGGAUAAAGAAGAAAACAAACAAAAACCAAUAACUUAAGACUAGUGGUUUCCAGAGGAAAACAAAACUAAAGUAUGCAUGUGUGAAUGCUGAAUUUUAGGAGUGCUGUUCAAUGCUAUGAGAAAGAGAAAAUACACCAACACCAUGGGUUUUUUUAGAAGUCAUUAUCACAAUUAAUUAGGUAGCUGAAAAUUUAAAAAAUUAAAAUGAAAGCCAUCUUUUUAAAAGAAAAAAAGUAAUUAUUUUGCCUACAGAGCGAUUGUAGUUUGAGCAAAUGUUUAAUUUUUUUGUUUGUUUCCUGUUCAUAAUUUUUUUUAAUAAGGGACAGAGUGCAUUUUUAUGGAACUGUCGUGUUUGCUUGCUACAGAACGGGAGCUCGCUUAGCAUCUUCUGGGGUUCAUGCAGUGACUUCUCUUUGUAUGUUGGAUGUUUUCAAUGUGCGAUUGGGCCAGCAUCCAGCUCUGUGAAUUUCAGUGAUAUCAGCCGUUUUUAGUUAUCAACCUUUUAAUCUUCAGUUUUUGUCUGUUUCCUUUUUGACCUUAGUGUUAUUGGAAACCUCAGUGAAGACCAAACUGUUGCAUUAGAAUGGGAGGACUCCAGCAUUGCGUUUACCUGCGAGGUUUAUUUUUCUCUUGGAACUUGAAAUAUACAUACACGUAUUUCAGUAAGAAACAGACUUACUAGAGUUCCAAAGCAGGUCCUAAAUGAUUGGUAUUUUAAAAUGCUGUUUUGUUUGUCAAAUAUUGAUGUCCAGUAGCUGUGCCUAGGACAGCCAGGCAAGUGUAUCUGUCUUGUGCCAAGAGGAAAUUAACUUUCUGUAGCUGUAGUUCACCAAACAGUAAUUAUAAAGUUUUACAAAAGUCCUGUCCCUUUAGGUUUAAACCUCACAUCCCUCCCCUUUUUAUAGAAGUAUCAUUUUAAUUCCUCUCUCCUGUGAUUAAAGUGCUAGCUUAGGAGGCAGAGGCCAAUUGUUUUUGAAGUAGAGCAAGAAGUUGAAUCAUCAGCUGGAUUCCACAGUAGCGCCUUGUAUUCUUUCGCCUUUUUACUGGCCUGUAGCUUCUUUGAGGCUCUAGCUUUCUAGAUGGGUCUCCUCAAGCCUCCUGUUCAGAAGAGGAAGAGCUUUUCUGGACAUGAGGGUCACUUAGCUGUGAGCGUCCUCGGAGGAAUGAUAGCCAUGUGCAAAUGAGACCGUGCAGAGCCGUUGCGGAGGGUGGCGGAGUUCUGUUUCAGACUUUGUGGCGUUGGGUCACUGUGAGCCAAGCAACCCAGGUACUUGGGAAGAGAAUGGGUUUUUUGGAGGGGAGGCACUAAUUCAGAAACUUGAACCAGGCCGUAACAGCCAUCUGCCAAAGAUACAAUAAUAUGCAACGUCCCCCAUCCUCCUCCUCCAAAACUCCCCAUCCCAAACUAUCCAUUCAUGUUGGGAGCUGAGUGCAUGGUAUGCCUGCUGGCGAGAGCGAUGCAAGGCUUUAGGCUGACCUAGUCUGCACCCAAGCAUCAGUGUUUGUUUGGUUGACUUAAGCAGGGUUUCAUUUUCAGUGCAGUGUCCAUGGGCCUUAUUCUCCCAGGCAUAUGGGUAGCUCCUGUUGAGGUUAGUGGGAAUUGUUGGUAUCCUGCCAAGGAAGAAUUAGACCCCUGGUGAGGCAUUUGGAUACUUGUACUCUCUAGAACCCAGUGAACAGCUACCCUGGUAUUGCUCCAUUAGUGGGUGUUUAGUUGUCUAUUGGACACUGGAUUUCGAAGGACGUGUUCCCUUUUAAGAUUGGAAGUUUCCCUUUCUCUCUAAACACAUGGAUGGGGCUGGGGACAGAGUUGUAAUGGAUCGCCCCUUGGACGAAGAAGGUCGGGGUAUUUGGAGGAAGGUCCUGCCUGGCUUGGGGAGUUAACCUGAAGACUUGUGGCAGGAUGGCUGCCUGCUAGACUUGGAGAAGGGGGUGCAGAUCCACGUUUGUGCUUUGAAUGCAGUUUAGGAGGUGGAGGCUGCAUUUGGUUAGCUGUAGUCAUAAGACCCUGUAUAUGUCUUGUAAAAUCCCUCUUGCUGUGGGCGAGAUAUGUUAUUCACAAGUCACAAAGAAGCAAGUGUGUAAACCGUCAUGGUGAAGUGUGGGCAAGGUUUGAAUUGUCAUGACAAGCAUACAAGGCAUGACCACAUGCACAUCCAGUACCCAGCAUGUAGCAUCCCCACUCCCGUGCGUCCCUUCUGGAAGUGUUGCUGUUAGUUGAGGUGACAAGGCUGCUCAUUGGUCUCUUCACAUCAGCUUCAUCCGUCUGUUGUGUAGAGGAGGAGGAACAAGGAGUCCUGGGUUUCUGACUGCUGCCGCCACUGGGCCUAGAACUCUGCAAACCUUUUACUGGCAGGGGCCGCUGGGUGACCCUCAAAGCCACCUCGCCUGACUCUCGUUUUCUCUUCUGCUGUUCCCAGGCAAGUAGGCUUCACCUGAGCAAACUGAUGGCCAUGUUUACAUCCGCCUGUCACCAGUGCAAAGAUUGUAUUUUGUUCCUUUCUCUAGAGAAAGCUAGCGUCCACCCCUAGUUGUUCCUGUGCCUUUUCAGUCCAUUCUGCACAGAUCUCAAUGUUGUCUCUUCUCUUGAGCCUGUUUAAGUCUACGUGCCCUUGUGAUUGGGUUGUUCACAGAGUGAAGAAAGGCAGGGCUUGAUUUGAGCUGCAGUUGCAAUAAGUCAGCCUGUUAACGCUGGCCUAUUACAGCUGUUUCCUAGGAAAUCGGUCUGGAGCAUAAACACAACCCUUAUCAGCGGGGAUGAUCUCUCUAUAAAUAACUGCAAAAGGCUCAUAACUGUUUCAGGGUGUUGGUUAGUGUGAUAAUCCUCGUGUGAUGACGAAGGGAAGAUGUUUAAACUGGUAAUUAAUCUGCCUCUUGUGUCUUCUCUCCAGUGAAAACUGAGUCCCCUGGCACUCAGCGAUGCACCCAGUCCCCAAAUUUAAGCUACUUUUAAGUUUGCAACAUUCUCAAAAGAGGAUUUCAGGGGUGCUCAGCAAAGGUCUCAGCUAGUCAUAGUUGGGGCUGAAAUUGCACUGCUUUCCUAGGGGCAACAUUUUCAAGGCAGGAGGGGGGCUAACAUUAGGCACCUAAACCAAAAAUAGCCAGAUUUUUUUCAGACGUGCUAAGCACCCAAGUUUCUCAUUGAUCUCAGCAGGGAGAACCUCUGAAAACCAGACUGAAUCACAUGCCUAAUUUUAGGCACUCAUGUUUUAAAAUGUGUUCUAGGUCUCAGAGCCUCAGCAAAUGGUUACCUGCCUGAGACUGCUGGGCAAGGGAAGAGGCCCAACAAAGCUUGCCCUAUGCUGUGUUACCCAACCCAGGCUGGUGUCCCUGACUUUGGGAACAAAGGGGCUGGUACCCACUGGUUUGAGACAGGCUGUAGCUAUGGAGGGGCUGCAGUUGGUUCUGAUCCCUUUUCCUGGCUGCUGCUGUUGUGGGGAGGAGGGUCUUGGAGUCCUGAGAGGGCACAGCAAAUGGAGAUCUCUUCAAAAAAGAAAGUUUAAACUUCCAAUACAUAUUUGUUUUUUUACAUGGAACCUCAAGCGUGGUGUGAGCUGUUGAGUCCGGAAACGCCUGAUAACCCCUGUGUCUCACUAUGUGACUCAAGUCUGGGUUGCAAAUAUACCCUGUCCCAUGGCUGGGAAAGCCUGGGUAAGCUUUGCGCCCCUCUGACUGGAAAGGCACUCUGUACUUGGGAAGAGGUGUCUAGCCUGCUUUGGCAUGGCAGAAAGUAUCUGCUGCCCUAUGUCUUGGGAGGGUGAGUGGGGGGGGGAGGAAAGAGUGCAUCCUGAAACCUCCAGGGUUUGGGAGAUGUCUGGGACCCCACAACUGGGGAUGCAAGUGCAAUCCCAGACCCCAUGGGUGUGAGCAUAAUCUGAGUCUGCAGGGCUAGGAAAUACACACUGUCCCCUGUUUCUGUUGGUUUUUUUUUCUUGUGUGAGUGAGUGGUUGGUUCUGCAGCCUGACUUUAUUCCCUCUGGGGGGAGUGCAUGUGUAGAACAGGAUGGCGUGUUGCCUCAUUGAGUCUGGGAGAAGUCUGAUGAUAGCACAUUGGGGAUAAUAAAAAAGGAAGCUUUUUCCUUUAAUGUAUAAAUGAAUAUUUGUAUGAUUAAAUUAACACAGAAAAAAUUA